UACACACGGAUAACAUACCGAAAGGUAUGCUAAUACGGGAUAAUAUAUUUGAGAGGCAUCUCUUAAAUAUCAAAGGUGAGCCAGUACAGGAUGGACCCGCGUCUGAUUAGCUAGUUGGUAAGGUAACGGCUUACCAAGGCGACGAUCAGUAGCCGACCUGAGAGGGUGAUCGGCCACAUUGGAACUGAGACACGGUCCAAACUCCUACGGGAGGCAGCAGUGGGGAACAUUGCACAAUGGGCGAAAGCCUGAUGCAGCAACGCCGCGUGAGUGAUGAAGGCCUUCGGGUCGUAAAACUCUGUCCUCAAGGAAGAUAAUGACGGUACUUGAGGAGGAAGCCCCGGCUAACUACGUGCCAGCAGCCGCGGUAAUACGUAGGGGGCUAGCGUUAUCCGGAUUUACUGGGCGUAAAGGGUGCGUAGGCGGUCUUUCAAGUCAGGAGUGAAAGGCUACGGCUCAACCGUAGUAAGCUCUUGAAACUGGGAGACUUGAGUGCAGGAGAGGAGAGUGGAAUUCCUAGUGUAGCGGUGAAAUGCGUAGAUAUUAGGAGGAACACCAGUUGCGAAGGCGGCUCUCUGGACUGUAACUGACGCUGAGGCACGAAAGCGUGGGGAGCAAACAGGAUUAGAUACCCUGGUAGUCCACGCUGUAAACGAUGAGUACUAGGUGUCGGGGGUUACCCCCUUCGGUGCCGCAG
rnacentral:rRNA from 1 species